GAGACUGGGGAAAAUCGAAGAAAAAAGGAAGAGGGGCUGACCAAGGGCAAGAUGGACGGAUGGUAUCCUUGACUAGCUUGACCUUGAAGGAGCUGGGGGUGGCAACAGCUGACAGGGAGCUCUGGCAUGAGGUCAUGAGGUCACGAAGAGUCGGAAGCGACUGAACGAAUAAACAACAAAUGUCCCUUGUGUCAACCCAUGUCUUUCUUGGUAACUUUCUGUUUUGAGUCCUGAUUAAAAUUAUAUUCAUGGGCAGGGUUGUAGCCUAUUUCAAUCUAUACGGGAGGAAGGCCAAUGUAGGAGACCAGACAACUUACCAGGCUGAGCUGCCUGGUUUGAAAGAAAUCAUCCUACUUUGCCCCUGCCUUCUCAGUUGGGACUCUAAAAUGACAGAGCAUCAUUGCAUUGAGUGGAGAUAAUUUUGUGGUCAUGAUUUUAAAAAGAACUAUUUAUGGUAAGUUGCACAGCAGGGUGGUGUUCAGGCUCAAAAGAAGUGGAUUACUACGUUAGCAGUAGAAAAUGAGAACUGGCACUGGCAAUGUGUUUAACAGGAGAAAAAAUGGAAACACUUCACCUUUCCACACCUACACAGGUUGUUUAUCAGGCAGUAAUCUGAGUUUAUCCUCUUAAAACCUCCAUGCAUAGACAGACCACUCUGGUGCCCUUGGCCUUAUGCUACAUUAAAUCAGUAGAAUCCAAUUUACAUUGUCACUGCUCUUCAAUGACCUCCUUUCCCCCUCUCCUUUAUUUUCAGUACAGUUUAUAACCAUUAACCUUUCUAUCUAUAGAGAAGGGAAAGGCUUAGACCUCUUUGUUCUAAAGCUGGCUAGCUUUUGAUUUGCUUUCUUAAUGAGCUUGGGACAUACCAAGAGAGUUUUCCAAUAUUGGAGACAUACCUUGCUCCAGGCAGGAGAUUUAAGGUCUUCUGCCAAGACUUAAGCUUUGCAGAUGGAUCUCAUGUGACGGCUUAUAUAAUUGGCAGGGCUUUAUAUACCUGUAGACCAUUGACAUAGAAAAAGCUUAAUGGGAAGAACUAUACCCAGGACUGGGGGCAAAAAAAUGCAUGCUUAUCUCACUGUUCUGUAGGUCUUCAUUCUAAUUAUUCUGGUUAUAAUGCAUACCUCUGGUACAUCUGCUAGACUGUGUUAAGGUGUCAUUUACUCACUAAUGGUGUAAAAAGGCAGAACUCUUAGAAGUUGAACAUCACCCAAACAAAGUUGGAUAAAAUGGUUAUCCAUCUGCGGAGGAUCACACCUGGAUAUAUAAGAUUACUGCAGACCCAAGCAGCUGGGAAAAUAGUCAUCAACACAACAGACAACCUGAUGCAACGGGCAGCUGUGUUCCUGGGCAUGUUUGGAAUUAGUAUGUCUACUUACAGCACCCUCCAGCUCACUCAGAAGAAGAGAUUCCCUCUGACUUUUUAGCCCUGCCAGGGAUCUCAAAUAUGAUCCAAGGAACACAUGUAUUUCCACAUAAAGAGGAAGUCUGUUCAACAAGACCAAUCUUCCACCUGUAUGACAGUCCCAGGCAAUGAUGCCAUCACAAGACACACAUUUCUUAUGCACAUCAUUUUUAAGUUGCAAAGCCUAAGGGAUUGAAGAAGAACUGCACAUUUUUUCCAGGAGAAAAUAAAUGGCCACUAGCUAUGGGAGACGUUUGACUUUACAGCAAGAUGGAGUGCCUGAAAAAUUCAGAUGUGAUGGAUUUCUUUUGCUGUACACAAUACAUACAAAAGGACACCAAUGCCUGGAUGGAUAAUUAAUGUCUGAGCAGUGCAGACAGAUUGAAUUGUGUUCAGUUAGGGCCACCUUGUUACUUGCCUUCGCAAAUAAUUGCUGACAGACGAACAUUUACCCACAAAAAGUGGUAACGCUUAAAAUGGCCAUGCGAAGAUUCAAGACAGAGAAGCUUUAGUGUUACUUUUUUACGCACAUUUAGGGUGAUUUUGGUUAUAGAUAUAGAAAUGUCAGUGCACUAAUAAGGAUGACUUCAGGCAACAGGUGUGAAUUUUGCGCAAAGCAGCACUUGCAAUUAAAACGAAAUGAAUGGGCUUAGACUUUUUUAUAUAUAGAUCCCUGUCCAAAGAUUCAUGCAUAGUGCUGCUGUUACAGAUUGUCAGACCAUCUGUUUGACAUGGUAUUUGUAGUGCAGGAGCGUGAAAUAUACAUCCCUGAAUGCUUGGUAGAGAGAAAGCACUUCUCCCAUGCGGCAUUGUUUUGUUCUGGCAACAUAUUUCACUUACACAGAAACACAGACUUUGAUGUGUGGGUGCAACUGCGCCAAAAACAUAUGACUGCUAAUAAUGGAGGGGUCUUUUAUAAUAGAAGAUUGUGUUUAAUUUGCACUCUUAGCUUCGAAUUUUCUACAUUAGAAGGACUACAGCGUAUUUGAUCAUUUUCACUUUGGAUUGCCCAGAGAUCCGACAAUACAUCUCUAUUUCUGCAGGGAACCGAAUUUGCCUUUUCGAUGCAUUCUGUUCACCACAAUAAAGAACAAAAUGACAACAAACAUUCUUUUGCAGACUGCUCUCUGGUGCAAAGACUGCUUUCAUCAACAAUAUUUUUUCAAAGAACAAAACUAGCAUUGUUUUUUCUGAGUUUCUUGUAAAAUAAUGUUCCUCUAUGCAUUGAUUGUCAAACUUAUUUUCUUUGAAAAUGGAAUUUAUGUUCAACCACUGUCAGGCAUCGCACACAAUCCUCCCCCCACCCCACCCCCGGCCGUUAUUGAAUAUGUCCUUCCUUCCUGUUUAUUUAAUACAAUAUUAUAAAUGACAAACAGAUUUUAGAUUGUAAGCAGCAGUGCUAAUUCUUUAAUUUCCAAGAACAAUUGUAAUGUAUUCAAACAAAUUAUUCAAUUAGUUUCUGAAGAAACUAUUUCUCUGGAAAAUUACCUAGAAUGUUUAUACUUAUUUCUUUCUCCUUGUAAUAUUGCAUUGUUUGGCAAAACAUUCUUUCUUCAGGCUUUGCUUUCAGGGAAGUAGGAAACAAACUUAAUACAAGUUUGCGGAAUAUUUGGAGAAAUGUAUCAAUAGCAGAUGUAUUAUCUCUUCUUCCACCAGACAAGUGCUUAUCAUGUCUUUGAUCAAUGCAACCAAUUGCAAUAUGUUGUAUUUUGUAAGGAUUUAUUUUGCAAAUGGUGCAAUAAUGAAAAUUAAACAGUUGUACAAUCA